rnacentral:lncRNA from 1 species
GUGCAUGUCACGUUGAACAAGACUGUGGGCUACUAGCCUUAUCAAGUUUUGCUGAGCAAGUCCUCCGCUCAGCAAGUUAAUUGCAAUCUUUUUUUGCAUCUCACACCUGCUCCUGUUAGAGUAGAGCCUUCACUGCCGACUAUCCACAGCCCUGCUUCACUGAACGCACCAGAGCAUCUCCUGGCCACAUGCGAGUGGCAUGUCCUGCUCCUCGUUGGACCCGUGAGGCUGUGCCACCAAUCAUCACUUCCUUAGUCCCGGCUAUUCAAUCAUCGCUGUACUGCCCCUCCCACCGGGACCACAUCCACCUCCACCUAUGUUGCCUACCGCAUGAUGACACCAUGCACCCGAGGGCCACCAUGACGACAUCCUCUGCUUCCUCCACUGCUGCAUACUCAUUCCAACACCACCAACUCAGCCUUCAAGCCUCAGACCUUCAAAACUUCGACCCAGGCCCCCAAACCAGCUCGACCUGACUUCUCUCCCAGCCUCAGAUUACAACUUUGCAUGUCCCUGCAGCUACAGCUCCCCCUGACGGCCCAGCAGGCAGUCUUUCUGUCUCCCCUGUCUCUCUAAUACCUGACACAGGUACAUGUCCCUCCCCCUCUCUCUCACUGACCCUGUUUCCUCCACGCCGGCUCCCUUGCCUCUUGCUACUACUUUUCUUUCCUGCCCCACUGGACCCUGGCUCACCCUCUCUAUGCCAGUAUAUCGAUCAGCUCCCGCUUCCACCACUGCAGCAUCUCCCCUCUCUCUGCCCACGACAACCUCUCACAUCCCCACCUACUCAGCCAGUUACGUGCCCGCCGUUCCCCGCAGCGGUCUGGCCCGUGGCCUUCCCAGGUGUGACCCUGUCCCAGUUCAGUGAACCUGACUUCCUCUCUGUUCCAGUCUUCACUACCGGUCACUCUGGCCUCCCAGCGACCUAGCCAGCGCUAUCUUUACAGCCUCUAGCAGCUCUCCCCCUUUCAGGUCCCACUGGCCCCGUGACCGCUGCUCCCCCUAUCUCUGCCAGUUACGAUCUCUCCUCACCUCAGGUCCCUCUGGCCCCGUGCAGCAGCUUAUCCCCUCUCUCUGCCAGUCACAUCCUCCCCCCUCAGGCCCGCCGGCCUGUGACCGCUGCUCCCAUGGUGACACACCCUCCCUCUCCACCAGUGACGACCUCAAUCUUUGGCUCAGACAGCUACGUAUAUGUUCCUGCUGCUUUGGCUCGGCCCCUGUUCCUCACAGCUGUAACCUUCUCUCAGUUCAAUGAGCAGAUUGUCCGCAGCCCAGCCCUGCCCUCCGGCUCACCAUUCCCUCUCGACAGCCGCCCUGGCUCUUCAUCCACUCAACACACUCCACUUCAAGUCACUUCCAGUCUCUUCCUCGCUUUGCAAGCAAAUCCUACAAGUUCCCGGUGGCCCUUCUCCCCACCUCAGGUUACGCUAGCCCC